rnacentral:lncRNA from 1 species
UGAGCACGUUUUGUGUGAACAAGUUUUUAUGUGAGUGUGUGUUGAGGCGGGCGCGUGUUUGAGUGAGCUCGGUGUAAACGCACGUUUGUGGGGGUGUUUGUGUGUGUGUAGGAAGUGUGUGUGUGUUGAGAUGAUUGGGUAUUGAAUUAUUUCUUUGUUAUAUUAGUUGAUUCAAUUGUAUUUUCUUUAAUUUGAUAUUUCUUUUUUUUUUUGUGGCUUGUUAAUUGUCUUUUUGAUUACGGUGGGCUCUUAUCUACUGUCAAUUCCUAUAUAACCACCAGGGGCGAUUAGCUGGUUGGGAUUGGGAGGGUUUACUUUGUUUAUUUAUAUUGUUGUUUUGUUUAUUGUGUGGAUUGUGAUUCUUUUUUUUUUUGUUUUUGGUUAUUAUAUUUGCAUGAAGGUGUGAAGUGAGGUUUGUGGGAAUUUUAAUUUAUUUUGGAAUUUUUUUUGUUUACAUUCUCUUUCCCAAGUGUUGAUUUAUCCCAUGAGAUAUUGGUAUUGACCGUUUAAGAUCCAGUUUAUAGGUGGCCACUGUAUGAUAUUAGUAGCUUAUUCUUUUCUUUUGUGUGAAAUUUAUUGUUUUUGUA